rnacentral:misc_RNA from 1 species
AGAGUGGGAGACAUCUGGUAACUGUUAUGAUAUCAGAGUGCCAUACAUAGUCAUUAUAGGGUAUAUGGAUAAACAGCUAUAUGAAAAGGCAGAGACCAUGCUUGAAGAUAUAUCUACAAAAGGGAAGAUACUAACACCAAAUAUUUGGGGGAGGCUGGCGGCAGGCUACCUAGAUAAAGAUAAGUUUGAGAGGGCUGUGAAAUGCAUG